rnacentral:rRNA from 1 species
GACGAACGCUGGCGGCGUGCCUAAUACAUGCAAGUUGAGCGCUGAAGGUUGGUACUUGUACCAACUGGAUGAGCAGCGAACGGGUGAGUAACGCGUGGGGAAUCUGCCUUUGAGCGGGGGACAACAUUUGGAAACGAAUGCUAAUACCGCAUAAAAACUUUAAACACAAGUUUUAAGUUUGAAAGAUGCAAUUGCAUCACUCAAAGAUGAUCCCGCGUUGUAUUAGCUAGUUGGUGAGGUAAAGGCUCACCAAGGCGAUGAUACAUAGCCGACCUGAGAGGGUGAUCGGCCACAUUGGGACUGAGACACGGCCCAAACUCCUACGGGAGGCAGCAGUAGGGAAUCUUCGGCAAUGGACGAAAGUCUGACCGGGCAACGCCGCGUGAGUGAAGAAGGGUUUCGGAUCGUAAAACUCUGUUGGUAGAGAAGAACGUUGGUGAGAGUGGAAAGCUCAUCAAGUGACGGUAACUACCCAGAAAGGGACGGCUAACUACGUG